GACGAACGCUGGCGGCGUGCCUAAUACAUGCAAGUAGAACGCUGAAGGAGGAGCUUGCUUCUCCGGAUGAGUUGCGAACGGGUGAGUAACGCGUAGGUAACCUGCCUGGUAGCGGGGGAUAACUAUUGGAAACGAUAGCUAAUACCGCAUAAGAGUAGAUGUUGCAUGACAUUUGCUUAAAAGGUGCAAUUGCAUCACUACCAGAUGGACCUGCGUUGUAUUAGCUAGUUGGUGGGGUAACGGCUCACCAAGGCGACGAUACAUAGCCGACCUGAGAGGGUGAUCGGCCACACUGGGACUGAGACACGGCCCAGACUCCUACGGGAGGCAGCAGUAGGGAAUCUUCGGCAAUGGACGGAAGUCUGACCGAGCAACGCCGCGUGAGUGAAGAAGGUUUUCGGAUCGUAAAGCUCUGUUGUAAGAGAAGAACGAGUGUGAGAGUGGAAAGUUCACACUGUGGCGGUAUCUUACCAGAAAGGGACGGCUAACUACGUGCCAGCAGCCGCGGUAAUACGUAGGUCCCGAGCGUUGUCCGGAUUUAUUGGGCGUAAAGCGAGCGCAGGCGGUUAGAUAAGUCUGAAGUUAAAGGCUGUGGCUUAACCAUAGUACGCUUUGGAAACUGUUUAACUUGAGUGCAAGAGGGGAGAGUGGAAUUCCAUGUGUAGCGGUGAAAUGCGUAGAUAUAUGGAGGAACACCGGUGGCGAAAGCGGCUCUCUGGCUUGUAACUGACGCUGAGGCUCGAAAGCGUGGGGAGCAAACAGG
rnacentral:rRNA from 1 species